CAAUUUCCAUAUGACCAAAGACAGGCCUUUGUCUCUCUCUUUCUGCCUCUCACAGUAAUACAUAAACGCAUUGAUUCCCCAAUUGGCUUAAUUCCUUCCGCAUUUAUCGCCGGCUUCGAUUUUUUCCCUCGACGGCCCCCAUCUCUUUUAUCUUGCCUUCUCUCUCACUCACUAGCGUGUGGAGUUUCUCUAAGUAGAUUGGCACAAUAAUCUCUUGCAUCGCUUGCUGAUUUCAGGAAAAAGGAAAUCUCUUAUACGGACGGAGAUACUUUGAGGAAAAUAAAUAUGAGCUGUUUUGGCUGUUGCGACGAAGAUGAUACCAGUAAACAUGCUGAUGGUGGAGGCCACUAUAUGA